rnacentral:rRNA from 1 species
UUCGCAAUGCCCGAAAGGGUGACGAAGCGACGCCGCGUGUGGGAAGAAGGCCUUCGGGUUGUAAACCACUGUCGGGAGUUAAGAAAUGCAAGGAUAUGAAUAGUGUCUUUGCUUGACUAAGGCUCCGGAGGAAGCCACGGCUAACUCUGUGCCAGCAGCUGCGGUAAUACAGAGGCGGCAAGCGUUGUUCGGAAUUAUUGGGCGUAAAGAGCACGUAGGCGGCUAUGUAAGUCGGUUGUGAAAGCCUUCCGCUCAACGGAAGAACAGCAUCCGAUACUACAUGGCUUGAGUGCGGGAGGGGAGAGUGGAACUUCUGGUGGAGCGGUGAAAUGCGUAGAUAUCAGAAGGAACGCCGGCGGCGAAAGCGGCUCUCUGGCCCAUAACUGACGCUGAGUGUGCGAAAGCUAGGGGAGCAAACGGGAUUAGAUACCCCGGUAGUCCUAGCCGUAAACGAUGGGCACUAAGUAGAGGGGUUUU